UGUAGAAGGGAUAGGAGAUGUCAAGUUCAUGAUGAACGGAGUGAGGAUGACAAUCAAGGACGUGCUUUUCGUUCCUCGGAUCAACAAAAACAUUCUGAGUUUUAGUCGGAUGAAAAAAAGAGGCUAUUCAAUGGAAGUGGAUGACGGUGAAUGGAUCAUUCGGGAUGGGACUGGGAAAAUAUUUUUUAAAACCUUGCGGGAAGAGAGAGGCAUUGCUCUGCGUUUGCAGAUGAUUGAAAGGUGAUGGAAGGUAUAAUCUCACUUCUUAACUAGCGGCUUGUACCACUAUGAAUAAUUUUGGUAGUAGACUUAACUCGUAAGGUAUGGACAAACCAAAUCUUUUGUGUGUUUGUUUGUUUCUUUUUCAGUUUGUUCAUGUAAGAAAAGCUGAUUCAUUUUCCCCUGUUGUGGUAAGCAUUAGUCUGGUCUCUUAACCUAGACGGCUUGGUUUUAAUCUAGUAGUCAAAAACUAUGUUGUUAUUCACAAUGCAGUGUGCUUUUGUCAAGUUUUGUUAAUGGUAAGAAGGAAUCAAUUUCUAGUAGAA